CCUCAUCUUAUUCACCAUCCUUUCCAUUCCAAAUCACUUGUCACAGCCAUCAGAGUCAUGCCUGGCAGGGCAUCAUUCACUUGCAGCUUUCAGCUUGUUCCCUCCAGAAGUUAAUGGUUUAACAUUUCUAAAAAAGCAAUGUUCCCAUAACAGUCCAUUGAGGGAGCUAAUAUAAUCCUGAGACACUUGGUAAAGUUACCUCUGAGAUCUGUUUUACAGACAAUAAUACAAAGGAAAAGUGCUGAACUCAUGGUGUACAAAAAAAAAUCCUAAAAAAAUCUUAUUCCCUUUCCUUUAUGCAAUAUUCACCAGGGCGCAAAUAUCCAGGGAGAAUCUUUUUCUAAAGCUUUAAAAUGUUACUGCAAAUUAAUGUGCACUGGCUAAUGCCCUUAAACAACUCAACUUCUCUGAAAACAUAGCUUAUAAAAAUACUUAUUCCUCUGUCAAGGAAAUAUUCACAAAACACAGCCUAUAAAAGGUCUUUAAUAUUAGAACUAUUUCUUUUAUCUCUAAUUAGACUACAAGGCAAUGUUCUGACCCUAGCUUGGAUUAAAUACUGUCUGAGAUAAGAGCAAUGAAGCAAUAAGUACAGUAGACAGACGAUACCACUGCUUACCUCAGGAGAAACAGAAAUAUUGAAGGUGGUAACAACGCAAUCUUUUAUUCUUUUUUAUUUUAUUAUAAUCUUCUUCACUACAGCUGAAUGUGGAAGACUCAUAUCCUCUCCAGACAGAAACCACUGGAUGUGGUGUUUGGCUUGGAAUCCUUGCCCAGAGAUUGCCAUCUCUUCUUUCAAGCUGCUCAAAAUACAGAAACAGUGAAAGCAAUUCUCCUGAGACUGAAUGUGUGCCAUGAAAGAAAGAGUGUAGGGGAAUGCAUGCAUCUAUGAUGACUGCUGCUGUCUUGGGUGAGAUGGGCAGAGCUGAAGUGAAAUGGGAAGAAGAAUUUAGAAGAAUUUUAAAAAGAAGCAGUGUACCUGGAAUACAAAUGCUUCACUGGAAUGCAUGAGCUGCACAAUCAGGAAUCCACAGCCCAAAGGACUGGUCAGGUUUAUAAGGGUACUAUUUGUACAUCAUGCAUCUCUCACAUGCUCUCUCAAAUAAAGAGAUUGCAACUGUAAUCA
rnacentral:lncRNA from 1 species